AGAACGAACGCUGGCGGCAUGCCUAAUACAUGCAAGUCGAACGAACACUUCGGUGUUAGUGGCGCACGGGUGCGUAACGCGUGGGAAUCUGCCCUUGGGUUCGGAAUAACAGUUGGAAACGACUGCUAAUACCGGAUGAUGACGAAAGUCCAAAGAUUUAUCGCCCAGGGGUGAGCCCGCGUAGGAUUAGCUAGUUGGUGAGGUAAAGGCUCACCAAGGCGACGAUCCUUAGCUGGUCUGAGAGGAUGAUCAGCCACACUGGGACUGAGACACGGCCCAGACUCCUACGGGAGGCAGCAGGUGGGGAAUAGUUGCACAAGUGGGCGCAAGCCUGAUGCAGCAACGCCGCGGUGGGGGACGAAGGCCGUU
rnacentral:rRNA from 1 species